rnacentral:rRNA from 1 species
AACGAACGCUGGCGGCAGGCCUAACACAUGCAAGUCGAGCGAACCCUUCGGGGUUAGCGGCGGACGGGUUAGUAACGCGUGGGAAUAUACCCUUUGGUACGGAAUAGCCUCGGGAAACUGAGAGUAAUACCGUAUGUGCCCUUCGGGGGAAAGAUUUAUCGCCAAAGGAUUAGCCCGCGUUGGAUUAGAUAGUUGGUGGGGUAAUGGCCUACCAAGUCUACGAUCCAUAGCUGGUUUGAGAGGAUGAUCAGCAACACUGGGACUGAGACACGGCCCAGACUCCUACGGGAGGCAGCAGUGGGGGAAUCUUAGACAAUGGGCGCAAGCCUGAUCUAGCCAUGCCGCGUGGACGAUGAAGGCCUUAGGGUUGUAAAGUCCCUUUUCAGAUGGGAAGAUAAUGACGGUACCAUCAGAAGAAGCCCCGGCUAACUCCGUGCCAGCAGCCGCGGUAAAGUACAGUGU